rnacentral:RNase_P_RNA from 1 species
CCAGCCGGCCGGGCGAUCGCCGGUGCAAGUGCCGAAAGGCCGCACCGGAGGAAAGUCCGGGCUCCAUGGAAACACGAUGCCGGAUAACGUCCGGCUGGGAAAGCGGGCUUGCCCGUCAACCCAAGGGAAAGUGCAACAGAAAGCAUACCGCCUGUGGCGAUCCGUUCGCUGCGGGUAAGGGUGAAAAGGUGGGGUAAGAGCCCACCGCGCAGCCAGCAAUGGCAGCGGCAUUGAAAACCCCAUCGGGAGCAAGACCGAAUAGGGGCAACGCGGGGGGCAACUCCCAGCCGGUUUUCAGGCCAGUUGUCCGGGUAGGUCGCGUGAGGUGUCUGGCAACAGGCAUCCCAGAUGAAUGAUCGCUGCGUCUUCUGCUUGCAGAAGGCCAUACAGAACCCGGCUUACAGGCCGGCUGGCAGU